ACAUGCAAAUAAACUAUUAUUAUUGUUGUUUUAUUGUUAUUAUAUUUUCAUCACAGUGUCUUAAAUAUAACAUGUUAAAUAUAAAUUUUAAGAAUACCAUUAAUAAUAAAAUACAUCAAGACUUUUAUCGGUUUAAUUCAUACAAGUCAGUUUGGAAUGUUUGAUCCUGACUAAAAAAGUAGCGAGGUAAUCUCGCGAGAUUACAGCCUCCCCAUAUAGAGAUUACACGAGACUGGAGAGUUUAACGGCUGUCUGCGUGAUCAUCGAGAAAGUGCAUUGAGAGCCCUUCAAAUUAAAAAUAGUGAUGGUGAUCUUGUCAAUGCUGAGAUUUUAAUGCAUCAACAGCCAUUACAUCUGGCUGGAUCAGGAUUGAACAAGAAUCAGACAGCAAGGGUUGUCACAUCAGAAACGUAAUAACACUAACAUAAGAAACUUCACAGGGCUGUGACAGUGACAGUAUUUUACCACCGCGAUGGUAAUGCACCAAUUCACCACUGUGGUGCGGUGGUUAUAGAAUGUGUUUGUGUGAGGGGGGAGGCGGCAAUUUCUUUUUCCGCCGGUGGGUGCUCAUCACAACCUCAAGCUUUACUUCGCAAUGCCAGGUGCUCUAGAGUCUGGAGCGCUCAAAGGCUUUGAAGAGGUGGAAAGUGGCGCAGUCACGUUUUCGUGUGAAUUGUGAAGUUAAAGGUAAUGUUUUUCCUGUGUUUUUGAUUGUGUUCAUGUUUUGUGUGAAAAAACAGUAUUUUUCACACAAUUUACUGUAUAGUGCUGUUUUCACUGUCCUCAAAACGGGCUGAUGUCUUCCUUGUUCUAUGAAGUCCCUCCUUCAGAAAUAUGUAACGAGUUCUGAUUGUGUAGUUUGUUUAGUGUGUUGUGAUUCAACAGCAGCUUAGCUUAGUCAGAGCUAGGGCUGCACGAUUAAUCAA